rnacentral:rRNA from 1 species
AUUGAACGCUGGCGGCAGGCCUAACACAUGCAAGUCGAACGAGUGGCGGACGGGUGAGGAAUGUCUGGGAAACUACACGAUGGAGGGGGAUAACUCCUGGAAACGGUAGCUACUACCGCAUCCCCUCGGAUGUGCCCAGAUGGGAUUAGCUAGUAGGUGGGGUAACGGCUCACCUAGGCGACGAUCCCUAGCUGGUCUGAGAGGAUGACCAGCCACCUUAGAAUUGAGACAUGGUCCAGUCGCCUACUGCAGUCCACAGUGGGUAAUAUUGCACAAUGGUCGAACGCCUUAUUCAGCCAUGCCGCGUGGAUGAAUAAGCCCUUCGGGUUGUAAAGUACUUUCAGCGAGGAGGCGUUACUCGCAGAAGAAGCACCGGCUAACUCCGUGCCAGCAGCCGCGGUAAUUC